CUUGGCGGCCGUAGCGCGGUGGUCCCACCUGACCCCAUGCCGAACUCAGAAGUGAAACGCCGUAGCGCCGAUGGUAGUGUGGGGUCUCCCCAUGCGAGAGUAGGGAACUGCCA
rnacentral:rRNA from 1 species